UACGGGGGGAGCAAGCGUUGUUCGGAUUUACUGGGCGUAAAGGGCGCGUAGGCGGCAAUUCAAGUCAGCUGUGAAAUCUCCGGGCUUAACUCGGAACGGUCAGCUGAUACUGCUUUGCUAGAGUACAGAAGGGGCAAUCGGAAUUCUUGGUGUAGCGGUGAAAUGCGUAGAUAUCAAGAGGAACACCUGAGGUGAAGACGGGUUGCUGGGCUGAUACUGACGCUGAGGCGCGAAAGCUAGGGUAGCAAACGGG
rnacentral:rRNA from 1 species